UAUCAAUAAGCGGAGGAAAAGAAACCAACAGGGAUUGCCCCAGUAACGGCGAGUGAAGCGGCAACAGCUCAAAUUUGAAAUCUGGCCCCCCGGGUCCGAGUUGUAAUUUGUAGAGGAUGCUUUUGGUGAGGUGCCGCCCGAGUUCCCUGGAACGGGACGCCACAGAGGGUGAGAGCCCCGUCUGGCUGGCCACCGAGCCUCUGUAAAGCUCCUUCGACGAGUCGAGUAGUUUGGGAAUGCUGCUCAAAAUGGGAGGUAUAUGUCUUCUAAAGCUAAAUAUUGGCCAGAGACCGAUAGCGCACAAGUAGAGUGAUCGAAAGAUGAAAAGCACCUUGAAAAGAGGGUUAAAUAGUACGUGAAAUUGUUGAAAGGGAAGCGCUUGUGACCAGACUUGGGCGCGGCGGAUCAUCCGGGGUUCUCUCCGGUGCACUUCGCCGCGUUCAGGCCAGCAUCAGUUCGUCGCGGGGGAUAAAGGCUUCGGGAACGUGGCUCCUCCGGGAGUGUUAUAGCCCGUUGCAUAAUACCCUGCGGUGGACUGAGGACCGCGCAUCUGCAAGGAUGCUGGCGUAAUGGUCACCAGCGACCCGUCUUGAAACACGGACCAAGGAGUCGUCUUCGUAUGCGAGUGUUCGGGUGUCAAACCCCUACGCGUAAUGAAAGUGAACGCAGGUGAGAGCUUCGGCGCAUCAUCGACCGAUCCUGAUGUUCUCGGACGGAUUUGAGUAAGAGCAUACGGGGCCGGACCCGAAAGAAGGUGAACUAUGCCUGUAUAGGGUGAAGCCAGAGGAAACUCUGGUGGAGGCUCGCAGCGGUUCUGACGUGCAAAUCGAUCGUCAAAUAUGGGCAUGGGGGCGAAAGACUAAUCGAACCUUCUAGUAGCUGGUUUC
rnacentral:rRNA from 1 species